GCUAUAUAGAAUAGAUAUUAGUUCAUUUUUGUGAGAUAUUGGUAAAAUAAACUAAUAAUCUAUAGAAUAGUUAAUUAAGGAGGAUAGAUAGUUAAUCUAGUUAUUAAAAGUGAUUAAUUAUAAGAUUAUGGUUAGAAUCUGGGAAUAGAGAGUAAGUAUAUAGGAGUUAUAGAAGUUAGUCUGAAGGCCAAACUAUGAUAGUCAUGAGCCGGGGUAAGCUUGGUGCUACUUCUUUGUUUCUUUGUUAGUGAAGAGUAAUGGAUAGUUUUUGAAUACUGAGAAAUGAAUUUGUGGAAUAAAUCAAAGAUUGAUUUAUGAGUUAUUGAUUAUGUAAUUGAAAUACUAUGUGAUUGAAUUAUAUGAGGAGUUAUUGGAAGAUUAUGAUUGUUGUUUAUUGAGAGUAGUGUAUGUGUUUCGAUAGAGGAAGUUUGUGAUUAUAGAAAUUGUGUGAAUCCAGAUUGGUUGGAGUGAAGUCUAUUAUUUUUGGUAUUGGAUGGAGAUUAUUGUGUUUUGAGCAGUCUUUUGAGAAAGUGCAGGGUUGCACAUUAUUGUUAUCAGUUGAUGAAAGAAUAGUGUUACUGAGACAAAGCAUUGUAAUAUUUCUUAGUAUUUUAGUGGUUAAGAAUAUAGCUAAUUGACUGACCCUAAGAAGUAAAACUCAUGCAAUUAGUCUUUCCCUGUAUUCGAAUUUCCCUAUACAGGUUUAUUCUAAAAAUAAUUAUAGAAUAAGUAAAAUAAUGAUUACAAUUAGGAUUUCUCUUUUGAAGUUAUUCGAGCUUUAGAGGCUAGAGUCAUCAAGUUUAGGAUUUUAGAUAUAGAUUGGAUACAUAUUUUGUAUAAUUUGGAGUUUUUAUAAAAGAGUUAUUGGUGCUCAAAGUUAAGGUGUCAAUUUCAUACCUACUGUCACUCUUUGGAGCAUAACAUGUAUUUAUGGAGAGCAACAAAUGAUUGACAACUAGGUUUGGAGAGGUGACUUUUUCAACUACAUUUUUUAUAUGUUUUUUUAAUGAAUUUGGAAUUUGAAUGAAAAAUUUAUAGAGGAUUGAAGUCAAUGCAUCCAAAUCAAAAGCAAUAAGUAAGUGAUUUUGUUCAUAAUAAU
rnacentral:lncRNA from 1 species